AACACUACCACCCAUUUAUCAUUUAUAAAAUGGCCGCCUCCAUGCAAAUGAAGAAAAAAUGGCUGCCCGCCUAGCAUAAUCCUCUCAUUUUGUCUUUGCCUAUAUCAUUCCUCCUCUGCCGCCAAAUGUCUCAAGUUUCCAUGUUGUAGCAAGAGAGCCGCUGCAAAGAUUGGAAGUAGCUACCUGAAGCGAUGGCCAUACUGAACCCUGAGGCGCUCCAGCCUCCCAAGCUCUGCCACAUGCAUCAAAUUCGAUCUCAAUUGUGUUUUGGCCUUGAUAGUGAGCAGAUGUCCAUUGUUCUUGCUCACCCGUUCCACAGGACCACCACCCCACGUGUGAUGGGUCGUAGUUCAGGAUACAUAUAUCGUUUCUUUGGACUCCUACGAGGGAUGUAAUUAUGGUGAGUGACCAAGGACACUUUCAACUUGCCCUUUCCUAGAAAGGAUAAGAGAACGCUACAUGAUAAUUCAGGCAUGGAAACAGAUAGAAGGAAUUGCCGACAACAUCAUGUAGCUAAAAAUAUCAGAAAGAGCAAGCAGAGGUAGAUUAACAGUGCCCUGAACUAUACCAGGAAAACUAAGGAAAGCACACAGGACACUAAUCCACUACGCACCAGCAUCGAUAAUGCAGAGUCUAUUCAAUGCGUUGCCAGUUCAACUGAGGAACAUAUCAGGAGUGAGCGUAGAUGCGUUUAAGAAUAAGCUCAACAAUUAUUUUAGCUGCAUCCCAGACCAUCCAAGAUUGGAAGAAGCAAAAUAUACCGGAAGAUGUAUUAGCAUUAAAGGUGCCUCACACUGAGGGACCAGGGGCAACCCGAAGGAGCUGUAAGGUCUGUAAGGUAAGGUCAUCCCCUUCCCCCACUCAUCCCCACCCAUCACCUUUCCCCUCCCCCUGCCAAAACACAGGAUCAAGUGUUAAUUUAGCCAUGUCCUCCCCAUCCCCUUCCCCUCCCCUCUCCCUCGCCCUUCCAGAAGAUCAAGUGUUAACUUAGCUGUGUCCUUCCCCUCCCCCUUCCCUCUUCCAUCCCCCUUCCCUACACAUCAAAUGUUAAUUUAUCUGUGUCCCCAUCCUCCCCUUCUCUUUCCCCUCCUCCUCCCCUCCCUUCCCUCUUCUAUCCCCUUCCCCUCCCUCCCACCAUCCUCCUCCCCUCUCCCUGCCCUCUUCCUUUCUCCUCCCCUUCCCUCCCAUACCCCGUUCCUUCCCCUUCCACUUUCCAAAUACAUAUCAAAUGUUAAUUUAGCUGUGGCCUUUCCCCUUCCCUCCUCCUCCCCUCCCCUUCCUUCUUCCGUCCCACUUCCAUCCCCUUCCCCUUCCUGCUGUAAGGUAAGGUAAGGUAAGUCAUCCCACCUCCUUACCCCUUCCAUUCCCCUCCCCUCAUAUCCCCUCCCAUCCCCUCGACCUUUCACAACACAUGCUCAAGUGUUAAUUUAGGUGUGCCCUCCCCAGCCCUCUUCCAUCCCUCUCCCCCAUCCCCAAACAUGGAAGGAAGAGGUACAUGAAAAGAAAUAUACAUUUUUCUUUUUAUUUCCUGUAGUAUUUCCUUCUAUGUUUGGAUCCGCGCAUUUUUUAACAAGAUUAUUGUAACAAAAUCAUGGUGUCUCAAAUUUUCUUUUCUCUAUUUUUACUUUUUAGUGCAUUUUAAUAAAAGCCUGUUUUUUUUAUCUCAGUUUUUUGUAUUACUGUCAGCCAUUUUUUGGCAUUCUUUUGCCUCGGCCAAGGCUGACAAGUAACACUAGGCCAACAACAAUUUUUCCUACUUCCUCGAGUGUUCAAGACCUCCGUUUUGUAGUUUUGAUUUCUUUAACAAAACGUAGUUUUAAUUUUAUCUCUAUCUUUUACGAUGGUGAUCAUAAUAUUGUCACGCGGCACUUCACGAAAAAAACUCUCUCUCUCUCUCUCGUGGCUCUGACUAAAUUACUUUUCUGUACAUUGUUUCCGCGUGAGGUUUAUAAUCCCUUAUCUAAAAACCGAUUGCUUUUUUUUAUGGAGAAUAGAGCGUCGUCAUGACCUUUAAGUAGACAAAACUUAAUGCAAUUCAUAGUCACACUCUCUUAUCAUUCGACUUUCCGAAACAAUUUCUAAUCAGAUUUUAGGAGGACGCUUCGUACUCGAGAUAUAAUAUGGUGUGAACUAUUGGCCCUGAUUGGGCUGUUACACCUUUAGGCCUUGGUUGCACCGAUAUUAACCAUUUGGAAAAGUCAGAUAGUACACUUGUAUUUAAAGUAAUGUUAAUUCUAAUAGAAAUGAUGUUUUAUUUAAUGUAUUCAAUUAUAUUGUGUGUAUUUUAAUAUUGCUAUAUUAUCGUAUUAUAAAACAUGAACUCUGCCAUCAUGUUCCAUUUGCAAUCCGGUAAUGAUUAUACUUUCAAAAAUAACAGUUGAUGACGUUUGAGAGGCACAUCAUUGCCUUUAGAGUUAAAUAAAAUGUAAUUCGGAGGUACAUUAUUUGUAAAUUAUUUAUUUAUAAAUGCAGUAUAUUUUAAAUUAAAGUGAUUUCGUCA